ACUGAUUUCCAUCACAAUCAUCACCUUCACAUCUCCAUCUUCUUCCACUAAAAGCUCUCUUGCAAGUUGUGAAGAUCCUCCAUAGAAGUGUGAAGUUGAAGUGCUCCCAAGAAGCCUUGUUCAAACUUUUCUCACCAUCAUUCUUUAUCAUCUCAUCCUAAGAUUACAACCCUAGCCUUGUGCUAGUAGUAGUCGUGUUUGCUGAGGAGAUUUGGGGUACGAGUACCGAAGACGCAAUACUGUGAGUUCAUGUCCCCCUUUUCUCUUAACUAUUUUCAGUUUUACACCUCGGGGGUGAAAUACAUGUUACAGACAUUUACAGACAUUUACAGACAUUUAUUUACAUGGUAUGGUUAGCUUAAGGAGGGUUUUUAUUACGCGAACAUGGGAGUGGUGGGCAUGACACUUAAGGCCAUUAAUCCUCGUUGUAGGACCGAGGGACAUUAGUGAUAGAUCUAUUUGGGUGUAGCGAGCCCCACUCCUGAGUCCGCUGAGUGGACCAUGAGUUGACUAAGUGCCCGACAUGGGGCUCUGUCAUGGUGGAACCUUCAGUGAUAGAUCUAUUUGGGUGUAGCGAGCCCCACUCCUGAGUCCGCUGAGUGGACCAUGAGUUGACUAAGUGCCUGACGCACAAAUCCGCUAGGGUUGAGUCU
rnacentral:lncRNA from 1 species